rnacentral:lncRNA from 1 species
CUUAUUCCCUGUGUAGGAAGGUUAGAUCUGCUAUGAUUAGACUGGAAUUAAUGGAUCUGAAAAUGAAUCCAAGUGAUUGAAUUAGUUCUAGACAACUUUCUCACAUCAGUCCCUGGAUGUAUAGUAUGUGGGGGAGGAACCUAAGACUGCCAAAAGGAUUAAUUGCAGUAGGAGGGGUAACACAUUUCGUAUCUUUAAUUCCUGGUUCUUCAGGUGUACACAUUGCUUUGAACUGGAACUAAAGUAGAAGCAUACUUGAGAGCCAUGUUGUCCCUUGGUGUCAGCAAAGAUGGUGUCAUUCCACCUACCGAGGAAGAUCGCAGGAAGAUCAUCAGGCAGAUGAAAGUGCGCACCACAUUAAAAGGGGACAACAGUUGGAUCAACCCACAGAACUCAGAUUCUGAGGAUGAAAGAAAGAGUCCAUUGUAAGUGGGAUUACCCCUGCCAGCUUUUUGUCCCUGUCUCUCCCC